rnacentral:rRNA from 1 species
CUUGAUUGUAGUGUAUUGGACUACCAUGAAGGAUUACGGGUACGAGGAAUUAGGGUUUGAUAUCGGAGAGGGAGCCUGAGAAACGGCUACCACUUCUAAGGAAGGCAGCAGGCGCGUAAAUUACCCCAAUCCCAACUCGGGGAGGUAGUGACAAGAAAUAAUAACUCGGAUAGUUCUACUAUUACGAGAUUAAAAUGAGAACAAUUUAAAAAUCUUAACGAGGAACAAAAUGAGGGUAAGUCUGGUGCCAGCAGCCGCGGUAAUUCCAGCUCAUUUAGUGUAUAUUAAAGUUGUUGCAGUUAAAAAGCUCGUAGUCGAUCAUCUAGUGCUUGCCGUCGUGGCUUCGGUCAUUGCGCGCGGGUGCUAUCUGCUCGAGAACUUCAUCUAACUUCACUGUUCGAUGUUGCUGAUCGGGCACUUUCCUGAGAAAAAAUUAGAGUGUUCAAAGCGGGCUAUGCCUUGAAUAUUACAGCUUGGAAUAUAGAAUAAGACUGAAGUCUCUUUUGUUGGUUAUGAACUUUAGUAAUGGUUAUAGAAACGGGCGAGGCGUUAGUAUUUAAUUUCGGAGGUGAGAUUCUAUGAUUUAUUAAAGACUACUUAGCGAAAGCUUUGCCGAGGAGUUUUCGAUUGUCGAGAACGGGGUUGGGGUCCG